rnacentral:rRNA from 1 species
CCUACGGGUAGCAGCAGUGAGGAAUAUUGGUCAAUGGGAGAGAUCCUGACCCAGCCAAGCCGCGUGAGGGAAGACGGCCCUAUGGGUUGUAAACCUCUUUUGUCGGAGAACAAAACCCGGGACGUGUCCCGGACUGCGUGUAUCCGAAGAAAAAGCAUCGGCUAACUCCGUGCCAGCAGCCGCGGUAAUACGGAGGAUGCGAGCGUUAUCCGGAGUUAUUGGGUUUAAAGGGUGCGUAGGCGGUCCGUUAAGUCAGCGGUAAAAUUGCGGGGCGCAACCCCGUCGAGCCGUUGAAACUGGCAGACGUGAGUUGGCGAGAAGUACGCGGAAUGCGGGGGGUAGCGGUGAAAUGCAUAGAUAUCGCGAAGAACUCCGAUUGCGAAGGCAGCUCACUGGACUGCAACUGACACUGAGGCUCGAAAGUGUGGGUAUCAAACAGGAUUAGAGACCCUGGUAGUC